CGUCGUCUGCGUCUCCCACUCUCCAUCUCUCUCUCUCUCUCUCCCCACUCCAUAACGCUCUCUGAGUGUCCAGGCUCCCUCCGUUCAAUCUGCAGUUUGGACUUCACCCUGCACAGAUGUAAUAAGAUCAUUGUCGGGAAUGCGAGGGAACUCUACACCGGAGGCCGAUUUGUGAUUAUAACUCCGCCGCCGAAGACAACGGAUCGUAAUCCUCGUGGUACAGCCUACUCGUGCCCUCGGGGCAAGUCUCUUUUAUUUGUCUCCUUCUUUUCAUAUUUUUUUUAUUUGGUGAAAUUACAGAAGGAGAGGAGUAUCAGAAACAUUGGAGGUUCAUACCCUACAUUUCUUCAAACUCCUGCCUGCCAAAGUGGAAGUGUACGUUUUUGACGUCUUCAUAGACUGUCUUACCAAUUUCGAUAUAAAACUCAUCUCUGUAU